rnacentral:rRNA from 1 species
UCGGGAAUUUUGGGCAAUGGGCGAAAGCCUGACCCAGCAACGCCGCGUGAAGGAUGAAGUAUUUCGGUAUGUAAACUUCGAAAGAAUAGGAAGAAUAAAUGACGGUACUAUUUAUAAGGUCCGGCUAACUACGUGCCAGCAGCCGCGGUAAUACGUAGGGACCAAGCGUUGUUCGGAUUUACUGGGCGUAAAGGGCGCGUAGGCGGCAAUUCAAGUCAUCUGUGAAAUCUCCGGGCUUAACUCGGAACGGUCAGAUGAUACUGCUUUGCUAGAGUGCAGAAGGGGCAAUCGGAAUUCUUGGUGUAGCGGUGAAAUGCGUAGAUAUCAAGAGGAACACCUGAGGUGAAGACGGGUUGCUGGGCUGACACUGACGCUGAGGCGCGAAAGCCAGGGGAGCAAACGGGAUUAGAUACCCAGGUAGUCCCUGAGCGGGCUGGCAAGGCGCAU